GAGUUUGAUCAUGGCUCAGAUUGAACGCUGGCGGCAGGCCUAACACAUGCAAGUCGAGCGGUAGCACAAGAGAGCUUGCUCUCUGGGUGACGAGCGGCGGACGGGUGAGUAAUGUCUGGGAAACUGCCUGAUGGCGGGGGAUAACUAGUGGAAACGGUAGCUAAUACCGCAUAACGUCGCAAGACCAAAGUGGGGGACCUUCGGGCCUCACGCCAUCAGAUGUGCCCAGGUGGGAUUAGCUGGUAGGUGGGGUAACGGCUCACCUAGGCGACGAUCCCUAGCUGGUCUGAGAGGAUGACCAGCCACACUGGAACUGAGACACGGUCCAGACUCCUACGGGAGGCAGCAGUGGGGAAUAUUGCACAAUGGGCGCAAGCCUGAUGCAGCCAUGCCGCGUGUGUGAAGAAGGCCUUCGGGUUGUAAAGCACUUUCAGCGAGGAGGAAGGGUAAUGUGUUAAUAAGACAUUGCACUAGUAAACUGAGCCAGGAUCAAACUCU
rnacentral:rRNA from 1 species